GGAUCAGUACGCCGGUCGUGCCUUCGGUAUGUACUGACGUUACUGAUUUCUACCUUCUGACGAACCGUCAUGCCAUUAAUUUGGUGUGGCGGGGAAUCAGGACUGUUACUUUGAAAAAAUUAGAGUGCUUAAAGCAGGCUAACGCUUGAAUACAUUAGCAUGGAAUAACGGAAUAGGACGCUUGAUUCUAUUUUGUUGGUUUCUAGGAUCAACGUA
rnacentral:rRNA from 1 species